UUGAGUUAGUUGACAUCUAAGAAUCUUGGGUACAACCUGAAUACUUGGACUGCAUUGAUCGAGAUGGGAAUAAAAUAUUAAUACAAUUGCAUGUCAAAUCCUGACGGCCCAGCUUCAUUUCAAUUGCUAAUAAUGUCUCUAGAUUGCCCAGCAAACUUUGCAUAACUACUCUGUAUUCGUGUGUAUUACGAGAUCACUUGAUAACGAAAGCUUCUACUGUUAGGGUUACUUUUCCUCGUCUGUAUUGCUUUCUUACAUAUAUUUACAAGAAUACAGUAGAACUACAUUGAAUAUAACAAUACCAGUGACUUUCUUAAGGAAAAAAGCUAAAAAUGGUGGCAACUGUGACAAGAGUGGUGAUUUUCGAUCUUUAUAUAGAUUGAAUCUGUCACAGAAGCAAUAGAAGAUUUGAAGACAAAAGAAGAUUUGAGAAAAUGGUUUUAAGCCGGACCUGGCACAAAGCUUAUGACAGGAACUUUCAGAUUGAACACAUCGGUGCGAAUAGAAUCAGAAAAAAAGGAAAAACUACCGGAAUAAUCUUUCAUGUAAUAGUAUUAAAGGUUUAGUUCCUGUCUAUGCACAAGGUAAAAGGUCAGAGCGUUUUCAAUAAAAUUGUCAUUUAUUAUUUUUAGAAAUAAAUCUUUUGAAAAACGUAA